GAUGAACGCUGGCGGCGUGCCUAAUACAUGCAAGUCGAGCGAACAGACGAGGAGCUUGCUCCUCUGACGUUAGCGGCGGACGGGUGAGUAACACGUGGAUAACCUACCUAUAAGACUGGGAUAACUUCGGGAAACCGGAGCUAAUACCGGAUAAUAUAUUGAACCGCAUGGUUCAAUAGUGAAAGACGGUUUUGCUGUCACUUAUAGAUGGAUCCGCGCCGCAUUAGCUAGUUGGUAAGGUAACGGCUUACCAAGGCAACGAUGCGUAGCCGACCUGAGAGGGUGAUCGGCCACACUGGAACUGGGACACGGUCCAGGGUCCUACGGGAGGCAGCAGUAGGGAAUCUUCCGCAAUGGGCGAAAGCCUGACGGAGCAACGCCGCGUGAGUGAUGAAGGUCUUCGGAUCGUAAAACUCUGUUAUUAGGGAAGAACAAAUGUGUAAGUAACUAUGCACGUCUUGACGGUACCUAAUCAGAAAGCCACGGCUAACUACGUG
rnacentral:rRNA from 1 species